UACGUAGGGUGCAAGCGUUAUCCGGAAUUAUUGGGCGUAAAGAGCUCGUAGGCGGUUUGUCGCGUCUGCUGUGAAAACCCGAGGCUCAACCUCGGGCCUGCAGUGGGUACGGGCAGACUAGAGUGCGGUAGGGGAGAUUGGAAUUCCCGGUGUAGCGGUGAAAUGUGUAGAGAUCGGGAGGAACACCGGUGGCGAAGGCGGGUCUCUGGGCAUCUCCUGACGCUGAGGCGCGAAAGCGUGGGGAGCAAACGGG
rnacentral:rRNA from 1 species